CAUUAGCCGCGGUAAUACCGAGGGUGCAAGCGUUAAUCGGAAUUACUGGGCGUAAAGCGCGCGUAGGUGGUUUGUUAAGUUGGAUGUGAAAUCCCCGGGCUCAACCUGGGAACUGCAUCCAAAACUGGCAGGCUAGAGUAGGGCAGAGGGUGGUGGAAUUUCCUGUGUAGCGGUGAAAUGCGUAGAUAUAGGAAGGAACACCAGUGGCGAAGGCGACCACCUGGGCUCAUACUGACACUGAGGUGCGAAAGCGUGGGGAGCAAACAGGAUUAGAUACCCGGGUAGUCCCUGUCUCUUAUAA
rnacentral:rRNA from 1 species